CCUACGGGAGGCAGCAGUGGGGAAUAUUGGACAAUGGGGGAAACCCUGAUCCAGCGACGCCGCGUGAGUGAAGAAGUAUUUCGGUACGUAAAGCUCUAUCAGCAGGAACGAAAAUGACGGUACCUGACUAAGAAGCCCCGGCUAACUACGUGCCAGCAGCCGCGGUAAUACGUAGGGGGCAAGCGUUAUCCGGAUUUACUGGGUGUAAAGGGAGCGUAGACGGCAGCGCAAGUCUGGAGUGAAAUGCCGGGGCUCAACCCCGGAACUGCUCUGGAAACUGUGAAGCUGGAAUGCAGGAGAGGUAAGCGGAAUUCCCGGUGUAGAGGUGAAAUGCGUAGAUAUUAGGAGGAACACCGGCGGCGAAGGCGGCUUACUGGACUGUAACUGACGUUGAGGCUCGAAGGCGUGGGGAGCAAACAGGAUUAGAUACCCUGGUAGUC
rnacentral:rRNA from 1 species